rnacentral:rRNA from 1 species
AACGCGAAGAACCUUACCAGGUCUUGACAUCCCGCUGACCGGUAUAGAGAUAUACUUUUCCCUUCGGGGACAGCGGUGACAGGUGGUGCAUGGUUGUCGUCAGCUCGUGUCGUGAGAUGUUGGGUUAAGUCCCGCAACGAGCGCAACCCUUGAUCUUAGUUGCCAGCAUUUAGUUGGGCACUCUAAGGUGACUGCCGGUGACAAACCGGAGGAAGGUGGGGAUGACGUCAAGUCCUCAUGGCCCUUAUGGGCUGGGCUACACACGUGCUACAAUGGCGGUGACAGAGGGCAGCCAAGGCGCGAGCCGGAGCUAAUCCCCAAAAGCCGUCUUAGUGCGGAUUGCACGCUGCAACUCGCGUGCAUGAAGGCGGAAUCGCUAGUAAUCGCGGAUCAGCAUGCCGCGGUGAAUACGUUCCCGGGCCUUGUACACACCG